CCCUUAGACGUUCUGGGCCGCACGCGCGCUACACUGACCAGUGCAACAAGCAUCCGUCCUUGGCCGACAGGCCCGGGCAAUCUUUGAACGCUGGUCGUGAUGGGGAUAGACUUUUGCAAUUUUUGGUCUUCAACGAGGAAUUCCUAGUAAACGCAAGUCAUCAACUUGCAUUGAUUACGUCCCUGCCCUUUGUACACACCGCCCGUCGCACCUACCGAUUGAAUGGUCCGGUGAAAUCCUCGGAUCGAGCCGUGGGGCAACUCCGGUUCGAGAAGUUGAUUAAACCUUACCAUUUAGAGGAAGGUGAANUCGUAACA
rnacentral:rRNA from 1 species